GGGAUUGUGGCUCAGCGGUGUAGAGUGCUCACCUCCCAUGUGUGAGACCCUGGGUUCGAUCCUCAGCACCA
rfam:Ictidomys tridecemlineatus contig104254, whole genome shotgun sequence.